rnacentral:rRNA from 1 species
CCUACGGGGGGCAGCAGUAGGGAAUAUUGCACAAUGGACGAAAGCCUGACGGAGCAACGCCGCGUGAGGGAUGAAGGGUUUCGGAUCGUAAACCUCUGUCAGAAGGGAAGAAAGAGCGUGGUGCUAAUCAGCCGCGUAUUGACAGUACCUUCAAAGGAAGCACCGGCUAACUCCGUGCCAGCAGCCGCGGUAAUACGGAGGGGGCGAGCGUUAAUCGGAAUUACUGGGCGUAAAGCGCACGUAGGCGGU